rnacentral:tRNA from 1 species
GGUAGCAAAAUGAUUAAGUGCUUGGCUACUAACCAAAAGGUUGGUGGUUCAAGUCCACCAGCCA